UAUAAUUUUGAGUUAAACUUAAAAUAAGAAACUUUAUAGAGAGAAAAAACAUGGUGAUGAAAUGUGUAAGAAAACUUAUGUUGGUGAUCACAAAAUUGCAUAUCCUUAUUCUCUUUAGUGUGGAAGCCAAUAACAUUGCCCCAACCUCAUUCACUUCGUCUUCUCCUCCCAUAUUGUCCCCUUAUUCAUCUAAACUUGAUAUUGCAGAAAUGAAUUGGUGCCUUACAGUUGCAGUUGGUCAUUGUGCUGAAUUUAAAAGCACAUGGCCAUUUCUGACAAGCUAUAUGAACUUUGUAUAAUUAAGGCUUUUGUAGUGUGCUUCGAUGAAACCCGAGCUUUUAAAAACACAAUUACUUCUCAAAUCCUUAAUGAUUGCGUCUUUGUCAAUUGCAAGCAAAAAUUGAGAAUUAAAGCCAAACAUCGUCAAAGGGCCCUUUUUGUUCAUUGUUGAUUGGAAUGUUAUUAUCAACAUGUCACCAACCCCAAUGAUGUCAUUCAUAGGCAGAAUCAUUGAGUUCCGACUUUGAUGAGAAUUACUAGAAUUCAUACUUUGUGAGAGUUGGGGGAUUAACGACAGAAGAAUUAAACGAGUUGGAGCUUGAAUUUGUGUUCUUAAUGGGCUUCAAAUUACAUGUAAAUGUGAGUGUUUUUAAGAGCUAUUGUUGCCACUUAGAAAGAGAAGUCAGCAUUGGAGGAGGUUACCAUGUGCAGAAGAAAUCAAAGGAAGGCAUAAAGAAGGAAGCGAGUACAAUCAGAUUGUUCGUGUUAUGUUGUAGACUCGAAUGGGGAGUUUUACCCUUUUGUCAAUUUUAUUUACCCAUCAUGUUGGUGCGUAAUUCUCGUUUACAAAGACGUAAAUUUAGUGUCUUUGAAAUGGUUAAGGAUUUACAGAAUCUCGGAGUAAUGUAAAACUAUUGUGGUUUGAUGUAGAAAAGAGGGAAAUAUAUGGUGACUUCUUUCUCUC